AUUGAACGCUGGCGGCAUGCCUUACACAUGCAAGUCGAACGGUAACGGGCCUUCGGGUGCCGACGAGUGGCGCACGGGUGAGUAAUACAUCGGAACGUGCCCGAUCGUGGGGGAUAACGAGGCGAAAGCUUUGCUAAUACCGCAUACGAUCUACGGAUGAAAGCAGGGGACCGCAAGGGCUUGCGCGGACGGAGCGGCCGAUGGCAGAUUAGGUAGUUGGUGGGAUAAAAGCUUACCAAGCCGACGAUCUGUAGCUGGUCUGAGAGGAUGAUCAGCCACACUGGGACUGAGACACGGCCCAGACUCCUACGGGAGGCAGCAGUGGGGAAUUCUGGACAAUGGGCGCAAGCCUGAUCCAGCCAUGCCGCGUGCAGGAUGAAGGCCUUCGGGUUGUAAACUGCUUUUGUACGGAACGAAAAGCCUUCUUUUAAUACAGGAGGGUCAUGACGGUACCGUAAGAAUAAGCACCGGCUAACUACGUG
rnacentral:rRNA from 1 species